CGGGGAGGAAGGUGGGGAUGACGUCAAGUCCUCAUGGCCUUUAUGUCCAGGGCUACACACGUGCUACAAUGGCCGAUACAAACCGUCGCAAACCCGCGAGGGGGAGCUAAUCGGAAAAAGUCGGCCCCAGUUCGGAUUGUAG
rnacentral:rRNA from 1 species